rnacentral:lncRNA from 1 species
CUCCGGUCAUUGGCACUAUCGCCGCCGCCUUUUACGGUGAUCGAAUGUUUCCUUCACCCAUUCGCUUCUCCUGAUUCUGAUAUUCCAAAACCAACCAAAGGGAAAAUUGAAAACUUUUCAGCUUCUUUUGACCCAAUCUUCACGCUACUUUGGCCAUCGCCGGUCAACCAUCAACCGAGGAAAUCAAAGUUGAUCCAACAUGUUUAACCUAGAAAUCAAUAGAAACGCAAAAUCACAAAGCUUGAAGAGGAGGGUGGUUCAGUGGCCAAUCCCAACAGUGAAGAGGCAAAGGAGGAGAUGCACAACAUAAGGCAAACCAAAGUUGAUCCAACGGUGGAGAUUGGGGAUCGGAUGAGAGAAAAACCGAAUUUCAAGAUUCGAUUCGAGCAUUUGGACUUGAUUUUCGGGGAAUUUAAACACACAAAGGUAAAGAGAGGCUUUGGGUUGUUAUUUGGAGGUGUCCGUGUCGGAAACGAUGCCGGAGACGACGCCGGAGUGGCAGUGGCGGCUAGGGUUCCAAAG